AUUGAACGCUGGCGGCAGGCCUAACACAUGCAAGUCGAGCGGAUGAAGGGAGCUUGCUCCUGGAUUCAGCGGCGGACGGGUGAGUAAUACCUAGGAAUCUGCCUGGUAGUGGGGGAUAACGUCCGGAAACGGGCGCUAAUACCGCAUACGUCCUGAGGGAGAAAGUGGGGGAUCUUCGGACCUCACGCUAUCAGAUGAGCCUAGGUCGGAUUAGCUAGUUGGUGGGGUAAAGGCCUACCAAGGCGACGAUCCGUAACUGGUCUGAGAGGAUGAUCAGUCACACUGGAACUGAGACACGGUCCAGACUCCUACGGGAGGCAGCAGUGGGGAAUAUUGGACAAUGGGCGAAAGCCUGAUCCAGCCAUGCCGCGUGUGUGAAGAAGGUCUUCGGAUUGUAAAGCACUUUAAGUUGGGAGGAAGGUCAGUAAGUUAAUACCUUGCUGUUUUGACGUUACCAACAGAAUAAGCACCGGCUAACUUCGUG
rnacentral:rRNA from 1 species